UCCGAUAUGGUCUAGUGGCUAGGAUUUGCCGCUCUCAACAGAGUAGGUCGCUCACAGCGCCGGCAAGGCCCGGGUUCGAUUCCCGGUGUCGGAA
rfam:Phaeosphaeria nodorum SN15 scaffold_9, whole genome shotgun sequence.